UGCAAGUCGAACGGUAACGGGCCUUCGGGUGCCGACGAGUGGCGAACGGGUGAGUAAUACAUCGGAACGUGCCCGAGAGUGGGGGAUAACGAGGCGAAAGCUUUGCUAAUACCGCAUACGAUCUCAGGAUGAAAGCAGGGGACCUUCGGGCCUUGCGCUCACGGAGCGGCCGAUGGCAGAUUAGGUAGUUGGUGGGAUAAGAGCUUACCAAGCCUGCGAUCUGUAGCUGGUCUGAGAGGAUGAUCAGCCACACUGGGACUGAGACACGGCCCAGACUCCUACGGGAGGCAGCAGUGGGGAAUUUUGGACAAUGGGGGCAACCCUGAUCCAGCCAUGCCGCGUGCAGGAUGAAGGCCUUCGGGUUGUAAACUGCUUUUGUACGGAACGAAAAGUCUCUGGUUAAUACCUGGGGACCAUGACGGUACCGUAAGAAUAAGCACCGGCUAACUACGUGCCAGCAGCCGCGGUAAUACGUAGGGUGCGAGCGUUAAUCGGAAUUACUGGGCGUAAAGCGUGCGCAGGCGGUCAUGCAAGACAGAGGUGAAAUCCCCGGGCUCAACCUGGGAACUGCCUUUGUGACUGCAUGGCUGGAGUGCGGCAGAGGGGGAUGGAAUUCCGCGUGUAGCAGUGAAAUGCGUAGAUAUGCGGAGGAACACCGAUGGCGAAGGCAAUCCCCUGGGCCUGCACUGACGCUCAUGCACGAAAGCGUGGGGAGCAAACAGGAUUAGAUACCCUGGUAGUCCACGCCCUAAACGAUGUCAACUGGUUGUUGGGGAUUUAUUUCUUCAGUAACGAAGCUAACGCGUGAAGUUGACCGCCUGG
rnacentral:rRNA from 1 species